rnacentral:rRNA from 1 species
AGAUUGAACGCUGGCGGCAUGCCUAACACAUGCAAGUCGAACGGGAGUAGCAAUACUCUAGUGGCGGACGGGUGAGGAAUACGUAGGAAUUUGCCCUUAAGUGGGGAUAACCCGGGGAAACCCGGAUUAAUACCGCAUGACCUCGAAAGAGCAAAGUGGGGGAUCGCAAGACCUCACGCUUUUGGAGAAGCCUACGUCGGAUUAGCUAGUUGGUGAGGUAAUGGCUCACCAAGGCGACGAUCCGUAACUGGUCUGAGAGGAUGAUCAGUCACACCGGAACUGAGACACGGUCCGGACUCCUACGGGA